UACGAAGGGGGCUAGCGUUGCUCGGAAUCACUGGGCGUAAAGCGCACGUAGGCGGAUUGUUAAGUCAGGGGUGAAAUCCUGGAGCUCAACUCCAGAACUGCCUUUGAUACUGGCGAUCUUGAGUCCGGGAGAGGUGAGUGGAACUGCGAGUGUAGAGGCGAAAUUCGUAGAUAUUCGCAAGAACACCAGUGGCGAAGGCGGCUCACUGGACCAUUACUGACGCUGAGGCACGAAAGCUAGGGGAGCAAACAGG
rnacentral:rRNA from 1 species